rnacentral:misc_RNA from 1 species
CACACGAUUAACAUUAACCUUUUUAUUGUUGUCAUGCCACAAAUAGACAUUGUUAACAUGUUGUAGGCCAGGCCGGCUGCAGCACAAAGCUUGCUAAUGCCUAAUUACACUGAAUGGCCUUCUUGAAGCUUUCACCUCCAGUCGUAAUACGUCUAUCCAACACAUCGAUUUUACUGUUUUCCCAGCAGAUAGGGGAACAGAUGCCAUCCAUGCAUGCCAAUCCUAGCAACAAACUAUUGCUACUUGGAUUUUGUGAACCCAAAAAUUAACAACAUUGAGUAUAAUGAAACAACUCUAAAUAGAACAAUUAAACGAUGCAGAAUAAUCAUCAGCAGUGUCUAACAUGUCAAUAUCUAGAAAUUUAAAUCCACAAUUUCGAGAUUGCCGCUACUGCUGUCAAUACUGUUGACAAAAACACAUUAGCAUUUUUCACAAUUGAAAUUGUAACUCAGUGAAUGAGCUGAAGACCAUGGACGAGUUUUCAGCUCCAUACACCAUACCCAUUGAUCCCAUGGGGAUCAACUGGGCUCAUGUUAACCCCCGAGGUUCUUACCUUCACUUCAUUCCAAAUCAGAGAUGCUGUCGUGGAAUCCAGGCUCAGCAUCUGUUUGUUACUUCCAGCUGGAGAUCCUUCCAAAGUAAGUCUUCCAUGACUCUCAUUUGAAGUGAGGCAGCUCUCAGUGGAGUAAUCAGCCCCCUGUUGAUGCAGACUAGAGGGUACUUCUUCUGGGCCACGCACUUCAGCCACUGCUUCACUUUGCAAGGAGUAAAGGCCAAGCGGAUCAUGGGAGGCAUUUCUUGGUGUCUUAUUCCCUGAACCCUUCUGGCCAUCGGUGUCAACAACUGCACCUCCAAUAAAUUGAUCAGCAAGCAUCUUACAAGCCCUCUCAAGCAUGGCCAAAUAUCUUUGUUCUGCAUCCUGGCGAAUUUGCAAAUGCUUCUGUGCCUACACAAUGGAAGUUUCCGAUCACCUGGUUCAGGCACAGGACACCUAACCAAAAAAAGCAAGAUCCAAAGUCUUGAUAACCCCUAGUUAACAGUGAGUGUAGUUUUGUUAAUUAUCAGCUAGUUGCUAUUUUGUGCAAAUGUGGAAGCAUGAUUCAGCACCAUCAAAAGCAGUAAUCAAGAGGUCCAGAAUUAUUAAAUCUAUUUUUUUCCCUAAACAAACCCACAUCCAACAGUCACCAACAGCAAGGAUGUCUUCCAUGGAAACAGUCCAAAAUUGGGACAUAAAUAUGUUCCAUGUGAGAAAAAGAUUUACCUCAACUUGUAGAUAUAAUUUACUUUGGACUUCCAUUUGCACUCUUAAUGCCUCCUUGACUUCAUAACCCUCAUUCAUAUCAGAAGUAGUAACAGUUGGUGAAGAAUUACUGCCCCCAGUGCUUUCUAAAAGGCACGAGCCAGACAACCCUUCAGGAAAUGGGGAAGAAGUCACUUCAUAUAAACAGGCACAAAGGAAACAUUCAGUUUAGAUAUUAGGCUUCUCAUUAGAGGAUUUAAUAUAAAUAGUUUAUUCUAUGAAGAAAAGCAUCAAAAUACAAUCAAUUACCAACGUCUAGUUUUCUUUUCUUUUGAAUGAAAACAUCAAUGGGCCAAUUUGCCAUUAUCUUCUUUUAUUACUUAUUCUUUUGGUUUUAUCCUUGAAUUUAUUUUUUGGGGGCAGGUGCACCUCUAACAUUUUAAGAAAUAAUGUCUACAUAAAAAUCUCAAUUUAGUCAAACUCAAACUGAUUACUAAUAAAAAUUGUGCUAAUGAUAUCAUGCACUAUGAAUGACAAUAGACAGAAAUUAAUAGGACCAACCAUCUUUGGAUGCUUCACCAAUAUCCUUCCCUGAUUGCUUACCCAGUCUGUAUUUCUCCAAUACCAAAAUAUAUAUAUGGGUUGAUACUCAAUACAUUCCACCACAAUUUUGAACAAUUAAGCAGCAUUACGCCAGAAAUAUUAUUGAAAAAUGAAACAAAACCUGG